rnacentral:lncRNA from 1 species
UUUGAAGCACGCCGCCUGGGACAUUAGCGAGGCGCUCGGGCCUCGCCUCGCCUCGCCCGAGCGCCUAGGCGAGCGCCAGAGCGCCUUUUUCAAUCACUGUGACAGCCUAGUAGUUGGAUCAACAUAAUGCGUCGAUCAAGAUGGGAUGUUUACCAGACGAUUACUAUUAGUAAGCUGCUAAAUGAGAUAGAGGCCCCAUUAUGUCGAGAUUCGAAAGAGGAGUUGGCUCCUGACUUCUGAAAGAAUAGCUGCUUAGCAUGACAGGAUACCGAUAUUAUGGCUCCAAGGAACAUGAGUAAAUAUGUUGAAGCUAGUUUAGAUGUAUACACAGUGUGAUUAUAUAAAAGAUCUUUUGUCUUUUUUUGUUUUCUCCUUCCCAUCAAGUAUGUUUGAAACUCGCAAUCUUUGGGACAUUGAUUGAUCUUUUUCUACCUACUUCUCUUUGGAGAUUUUGCAGCCCCUACACCUUAAUUGCUUUGUUAUUCUUGUGUGUUCUAUUGAUCGGUUAAUUGUUUUGCUUUUACUUACUGGUGAAAUUUAUAAUUUCGGUGAAGUUUUGAGGAGCCAAAAGGUUUCAAGAAGAUGCCAUGGACAAGUGCAUUGGAGUGCCCUGGAUGCCCACCUUUGAGAGCCUUGACGACUGACGUGCUCGGUCUU